rnacentral:tRNA from 1 species
GCCCUAGUAGCUUAAUACCCAAAGCGCCGGUCUUGUAAUCCGGAAAUUGAAGGUUAAAAUCCCUCCUAGUGCC